GACGAACGCUUGCGACGUGCCUAAGAAAUGCAAGUCGAGCGAGGUAGCAAUACCUAGCGGCGAACGGUCGCGUAACACGUAAGCAACCUGCCCCAAAGACCGGGACAACGUUCCGAAAGGAGCGCUAAUACCGGAUGUGCCCAUCGGGUGACAUCGCCUGAUGAGUAAAGCGCGCAAUCGGCUUUGGGAGGGGCUUGCGGCCUAUCAGCUAGAUGGUGGGAUAACGGCCUACCANGGCGACGACGGGUAGCUGGUCUGAGAGGAUGGUCAGCCGGAUUGGGACUGAGAUACGGCCCAGACUCCUACGGGGGGCAGCAAUUAGGAAUCUUGCGCAAUGGGCGAAAGCCUGACGCAGCGACGUCGCGU
rnacentral:rRNA from 1 species